AGGACAAUGGUGUAAUGGAAACACACUUGCUUCGGCAAGAGUCUAAUCGGGUUCGAUUCCCGGCGGUC
rnacentral:tRNA from 1 species